UGCAUGUACAUUACAUAUUUUUGGUCGAGUUUUCAACCACUGGACGACCACUAGUUUAUCUUAAAUCGUAGGCUUGAAAGUUCGAUUAGUUGGCUAAAGAUAAACUGAACAAUACUAUUUGCCGCCACAAACAUGGUUAGUUGAGCUGGGCUGAUUCCAAUUUUUCUCUCUGCUCCUUUUAGGACGGCUGUGAUAUUUGGCAACUCAUGUUCUACCUGAACUUCGUUGGGGUAUAGUUACAUGACUUCAAAAUGAAUACAUUGCCCAAUUCUAACUUAAAAGUAUUUCUUUUGGAAUUGAGUUCUUUCAUCUCUACAAAUGGAAUACAUGAAUGGUAUAAAACAAUUGAAAGGAGCAGAAGAUUAGCCAACACGGAAGGAUCGCUUUUUGGACAUUCUAAGAGUUGUUCGACGCAGUUGAUAUCAUUGAGGGAAAGAUAAAAAAGCCGUCCCUCUCUGAGUUUCAACUGAAGCUGAAAAAGAAGAACUCAAGAAAAUCCGCGACUGAGGGUAGUGAAACAUGGGUGUUAUCCAAGACAAAUGAAAAACGGCUCAUUGUGUUUGAAAAAAAAGUCAGAAGAAAAAUAUUUGGACCAGUGCAGGAGGGAGAAAUGUGGAGAAUAAGGAUAAAUAGAGAGCUAAAGAUCACUAUACACUGGCCCAGAUAUUGUUGCAAUGGUUAAAGGAAGAAGCUUAAGUUGGAUAGGGCAUGAGCUAAGAAGAGAAAAAGGAACAAGACUGUAUGAAGUUUGGAGGCCACACCUGGAGGUAAACGUCCAUUGGGAAGGCCGAAGUUGAGAUGGACUGACAAAGUAUUGAACGACAUCAGGACAAUGGGUGCAAAUGUCAACUUGGCAGAGGACAGAGAAGGGUGGAAGAUGCGAAGGUAUACACGACAGAGGUACUUGAGGCAAAGAAUCAACUGAGAUUUGUGGAGCCACGGAAGUAAGUAAGUAAGUUUGAUAACAAGUUUUAGUUUGUCGUAAUGUCUUUAAAGAAAGAAACAGUUUUUUACCCUUGAAGAAGAUAAAAAGCUGAACAAGUUGCUCUUUAGAAACUUGUUUACCAUUUUUGGUAAAAAUAGGGGUACAAGAAAGUCUUCAGUGCAGCAAAAGUUGUUUGCACAAUUGGGCUUAUUUCGCCCAUGGAAAUCCUGUACUGAAAUAUCCUAAAAAAGCCUUCUUCUUGUCUUCUUACAAAUAUGUCGUGUGCUGCAACUUGUGGCACAAAUAAAAUGUCUUUCACUUGUUCGUCGUCAACUUCCUCAACGAAUAGGUAUUUCAAGAACAACUUCUUCUGCCUCAAACUCAUGGCACCACUUCAAUUGAAAGUCAGCAAACCAAUGAACAGAAUCGCUCUAGAACAAUCGCUUCAGGUACAAUAACAUGGUUAGCUAUUAUUGCUGAGCUAAUAUCGCUCAGCUACUAUCGCUCAACUACUUGUACUAUCGCAAGAGCCGCUUCAGGGAUAAUGGCCCUUAAAUAUGAAGAAAAAUAGAAUAAUAUCUAUUUUCUAAACUAGUUUUUUUCAUUCCUGUCUUAAUUUAACUCUUGUUAUAGAUGAUUUAGAGUGAAACGGUCAUUCACUGGGCAAGUCACCCUAUACAGUUUCUAGUUAACUAGAUUUUCCCUUAAACACCUCACAACUGUGAAUAAUUGAAGAAUCUUGUACAUCAAAAGACCAUUGCUAAUGUCACUGGCUUUGUAAAACCUGAGGCAUUGGUGUGUGAUGUCGUAAAGGAAGUUAAGGAUCUCUCCAAAGAUUUGAACGAAAAAGAUUGUCUGUUGGUCAGAGUUGGCACUAAUGACGUAGAAGAGAAAAGUGAAAACAGCAUAAAAGGAGAUGUCCAUACACUUUACUAACUAGAAUCAUUAAUUAAAUAAAGUUGAUUAUUGCAUUACUGCCUUUGCAUCAUGACUUGCCAAUAUUAGAAAUAUAAACAAUUGGCUCGUAGAAUCACUGAACAACUCUGUAGAAAAAUAACAUUACUAGAAUUAGAAUUCAACAGCACAAUCUAUAAUUUUAUCCUAUAAAUUAGGGGAUGAAAUUAAAAUUGAGUUUUCAAAAUUAGUAAAUCUGUAGGUUGUCCAUUAUUAAAUGAGAAUGGUGCCAAUACCAUUCGCAACUACUUUGUUAAACAAAGAACUGUGUAUAGUCUAUUAUUUUGAGAAUUCAAAAUACAAAAAUUAAGAAGAUUAUUGAGUUUUAAUAUUUUACUAGAGGUCGUCCAGUGGUCGAAAAUUCAACCAAAAAUAUGUAAUGUACAGACUUUUCUAUUUUCACCCCACACUGUAAAUAAAACAUGAGAUUAGAAUUUAUUCCAUUUGUUUUGAUUUUCUGUUUAUAUUUCGUUGUUAUUUUAUUACCAGCAAUGACAACCCAAAAAGCCCGUGUUAAUUUUUUAAAUUUCAAAUUCAUUUUUUGUGCUUAGCCUAUAUUUGAGCAUAUUUAACAAUUUUUAGCACUAAAUACAACAAUGGACAAAAAGCCCGUCUGUUGCGGCUGGCGCACCUGGUUAGCACUUGUACAACAAUUGACUAACGUAAACUGUUCUCAUAAAUCAGAUUGAAAAACAAAAAAACAUUAUUGUAUAGACACUGUUACCACCCUCGACCUAACAAAACAAAAUUUAAAUCAAUCUUUUGAUUUGAUUACACCAACCUACAGUAUCUAGCUAAAAUACUGUAUAUAGUACGUUGAAAAAACAAUGAGUUUGUCUUUAAUAUUAACAAAAAAAAUUUUGUGAGUUUACAAUAGGUUGUAGACAGAUUCAAUACCCUCCAUAAGCGCCAUUUAUUUCUGUCAUUCUCUCCUCAGGCUUGAGGAUCGGUGUAGUUAGCAGGAAUAUACUGACUGCUUUGUUUUGCAUGGCGAAUAUAAUCUACAGUAGUUGCAGUAUUACCAUUGACAACCAACACAAGUGUAGACUCAUUACAUUGUAAAAGUUAAAGAUAGUUUUUCAUGUCUAGUUCAUGUUGGUAACACUGAGGGCUUUUGUCAAAAAAAUUUUGUUUAUAUUAUUUUAGAAUUAUUUUACGAUUUAUGUUUUAAUUUCUUGUGAUAUAAAAACCCUAGUUCAAUAACCCUAGGCUCAAUAAACAAUAGGGGACGAGCUAUUGUUUUUGAUUAGGCCUUAAUAGUUUUAUUUGGUAAAACGAGGCUUUAAAUAACUGAAAUAACAAGAAUUGUCUUCAUUCAACUGAUGCAUAAAUAUGACAAAUCUACUAAAGGUGAUGUUUAACCUAUGGUAUCACGUACUGUAUGGAGUUUAUGUUUGGGCCAGAAAUAUGAAGCAACUGCGGCAGCAAUGGCCAUGCUUUGUUACAGGAAUACUUGCGGGUUAGUUUCGUUUCGGUCCCACAAACGUGAGUUCACUAUUUGAGACAUAAAACUGCUAAACGUGUUUAAGACAGCAUUUUGUUAAGGCUAGAACCAAGUAAAUUCUUCAAAAAGCUUACGAUGAUGAAAUUGCAUCGUGGAAUGGUGUUUUAGUAAUUGACAUAUUGGCUGGAUAGUUUUUAAUAAAGGUUUGUUGGAAAGUAAAUUUAACUAGAUUUAGGGACGGUAAAAUUAUUGGGCCUAGGGGCGCCAAAUCGCUUAAUCCAGCCCUGGCUCUACCUCUAAUACUACCAAUCCUUAUUGGUAGUGGGCUAUUUUUUUUUCCUUCACAUUUAGACUUAGUUUCAGGUACCCUGUUUAAGAUCAUGUAAUUUUGUAGGUCCAAGAUAACAGUAUUAAGUACAACACAUCUAUUAAAAUGGGCAAUACUAUUAAAUAUAAGAGUUUCUUUAAUCAAACAUAAAGAGGCAAAUGAUUAACUCACCACUCGCUGCUUCUCGACGCUGCUGACGAGUGCUGCGCUGCCGGGGGUUGUGUCAGAGAGGUUGACACCCCUGACUCCCUGCUCCAACCCCUGCAGGAUGACAGAGGCUCCGAGGAACUUGUUGAGGAGAGCUCUGGCCUCACGAUCAGCAUCUGUGUCUCCGCUCUCACUCACUGCCACAACAACAUGCAUACCGGUAACUCAAACCCAUCCAUAUGGACCAGUUGUAUAAUUUAAAAUUGAAAAAAUAAUUAGAGUGAGCUGCCAUCAAAGCUUUACUAUCUAUCUUAUUUUUGAUACUUUUAUCAUAUAUAUGACAUAAUAGACGCUAUAUUUUACAGUAUGGUGUCCUUUUAGUUCAAGUUAAAAAGUUGACGGGUUCAUUCAACAGAAAUCUGUAAAUUUACAUCAGACUCUGUCGGAGGCUCAACUACAGAGUACUCAUUUUCAUUCAAAAACUUACUUCAACUUUAAAAUAGUAAUGGAGUGUCUAGUUCACCCAUGAUCAAAAAUAAAGCUCAGUAACACUGAUAUUAUAAGAGGCAUGCAAAGUAAUUCAACCGUCUAUUAUGCAUAGUUGGUGACGCACCCGAGCCACGUCACUUUUUUAAUUCCAGUAAUAGACUGCAAGUCUGUUAAACUUGUUGAUUAAAGUUUAAAAAAAUUAAAAACUUUUAGUUAGUGUCCCCGCUAUCUAAUCAAUAUUUCAGUAUGCCCUAGUUCAACAAUUUUAAACUAUUUGUAUGACUUCGCAACUAGACAGAGCACAAUGGCACAAUGGGCCCUUGUUGCUUUAUAUUCAGAAGUCUGAUCAAGAGCAGAGUGAUCGAUUUACUUUAAAAAAUACCUCAACUACCUGUAUUUUCUCAACAAUAAAAAUUAUUUUCAUAUU